UAGAAUGUAGUGUAUGAGGUAGCACGGAGAGUUUUGAGUUCUCAGGAUUAGGUUCAAAUCCUAUAUUUCUAG
rnacentral:tRNA from 1 species